rnacentral:lncRNA from 1 species
AAGUUGGAAAGCAGAUGUGGGGGAUUGGGAAAAGCUGGCGUAGGAAAGUGGGGGAUGUGAAUAUGAUCAAAAUUCACUGUAUGUAUGUGUGACAUUCCAAAAAAUAAAAUAUUAAUAUUGCAUAUUAACUUUUCUUUAAGUUUGUUUUUGAGACAGGGUUUCUUUGUGUAACAGCACUGGCUGUCCUGGAACUCACUUUGUAGACCAGGCUGGCCUCAAACUCAUAGAGAUCUGCCUGCCUCUGUCUCCCGAGUGCUGGGAUUAAAGGCGUGUGCUGCCACCGCCUGGCGUACAUUAACUUUUUUUUAGAGUCAUGAAGAUAGUCAAGUUCUUGGGUUUGUAAAUAUCUGCAGCACUUGCCCAGACUCAUUUGGAAGUGCAAUGGAAGGGAGAACAUUUUAGCAAUAGACAGUUGUGCAGGUUGUGAGUUGUCAUUGAACCUUAGAUGAGUCCAAAUGGUGAGUGUUAGGCUGUGUGUACUUUACCACAGUCAAGAAAAUCCAAGUGGAAAGAGGCCAUCUGCCUCCCCAAUGUAGGCUAGCACAGUAAUAACAUGACCCACUUAAGAGCUACAUGGGAGCAAUUGACUGAUUCUAAACAGUAAGUUAGACACCUGUGCCUAACCUGACAGACCAGGGUUUGGAGAUCCCGAAAGUGUGACUCACUUAGCCAGGUGGUACCCAAAGAGAGGACAGCUUUGGCCCAUGCCACACUGACCCCUUCAGUUUCUGGAACAGUCCAGGCUCUUUGGAUGCUGAGGUGGGGCUUUUCUUCCAUCCUGACUCCAGGUGAGAGUCCCAGAGCUCAGUGUUCGAAAUCCACACAGGAAGGACGAAGGCUUUGGGCACAGAAACCGCAACAGAAAUGUAAAAAGGGCCAAUCAAGAUCAACAGAGAGCUAGAGCCCUGCUUCUCAGUGCCCCAGAAGCUGCUGACUGAGUGACUGCUCCACUUUGUCAUCGAGUCCCCAGGAGCCCGAAGCAGCAGCAGAGCCGAAUCAUUCCAGGUCAGCAUGUAACAGCUGACCCAGAGUUACCAUCAGUGCUGGGCGUGAAAAGACAAGGGUGGUGGUAUCUCAGGCCUUUGAGCAGAAACGAACCUCUAG